CCUACGGGAGGCAGCAGUGAGGAAUAUUGGUCAAUGGGCGGAAGCCUGAACCAGCCAAGUAGCGUGCAGGAUGACGGCCCUACGGGUUGUAAACUGCUUUUAUACGGGAAUAACGCGCCUUACGUGUAGGGCUUUGCAUGUACCGUAUGAAUAAGGACAGGCUAAUUCCGGGCCAGCAGCCGCGGUAAUACGGAAGGUCCGGGCGUUAUCCGGCUUUAUUGGGGUUAACGGGGGCGUAGGCCGCAUGUCAAGCGUGCGGUGAAAUGUCCGGGCUCAACCCGGGCCUUGCAGCGCGGACUGGCGUGCUUGCCUCCGCGUCACGCCGGCGGCAUUCGUCUUGUAGCGGU
rnacentral:rRNA from 1 species